rnacentral:rRNA from 1 species
UACGUAGGGGGCAAGCGUUGUUCGGAAUUACUGGGCGUAAAGCGCGCGUAGGCGGUUUGGAAAGUCCGAUGUGAAAGCCCCGGGCUCAACUUGGGAACUGCAUUUGAUACUGCCAGACUAGAGUACAGAAGAGGUGACUGGAAUUCCCAGUGUAGCGGUGAAAUGCGUAGAUAUUGGGAGGAACACCAGAUGCGAAGGCGGGUCACUGGGCUGAUACUGACGCUGAAGUGCGAAAGCCAGGGGAGCGAACGGG